rnacentral:rRNA from 1 species
AAGUCAGAAGUGAAAGCCCGGGGCUUAACCUCGGGACUGCUUUUGAAACUGUGUAGCUAGAGUGCAGGAGAGGUAAGUGGAAUUCCUAGUGUAGCGGUGAAAUGCGUAGAUAUUAGGAGGAACACCGGUGGCGAAGGCGGCUUACUGGACUGUAACUGACACUGAGGCUCGAAAGCGUGGGGAGCAAACA